AGUGAACGCUGGCGGCGUGCUUAACACAUGCAAGUCGAACGAGAACGGAAUAUAGCUUGCUAUAUUUGUCAGCUAAGUGGCGCACGGGUGAGUAAUGUAUAGAUAACCUGCCCUUAAGAAAGGAAUAACAGUUGGAAACGACUGCUAAUGCCCUAUAUGCCUUUAAUACAUAAGUAUUCAAGGGAAACGCUUUAGUGCUUAAGGAUGGGUCUGUAUGGUAUCAGCUUGUUGGUGAGGUAAUGGCUCACCAAGGCUAUGACGCCUAACUGGUUUGAGAGGAUGAUCAGUCACACUGGAACUGAGACACGGUCCAGACUCCUACGGGAGGCAGCAGUGGGGAAUAUUGCACAAUGGACGAAAGUCUGAUGCAGCAACGCCGCGUGGAGGAUGACACAUUUCGGUGCGUAAACUCCUUUUAUAUAGGAAGAUAAUGACGGUACUAUAUGAAUAAGCACCGGCUAACUCCGUGCCAGCAGCCGCCGCGGUAA
rnacentral:rRNA from 1 species